rnacentral:rRNA from 1 species
GGGGAAUAUUGGGCAAUGGAGGAAACUCUGACCCAGCGACGCCGCGUGCGGGAUGAAGGCCUUCGGGUUGUAAACCGCUUUCAGUAGGGAAGAAGCGAAAGUGACGGUACCUACAAAAGAAGCACCGGCUAACUAUGUGCCGGCAGGCGCGGGAACACAUAGGGCGCAAGCGUAGUCCGGAAUUAUCGGGCGUAAAGAGCACGUAGGUCGGUGGUAGCGGCGGGUGUGGAAACCUGAGGCUCAACCUC